CGCUCUGCCCGUCAGCACUCAGCUGUUGCUGCUGCUGCCUGGGCUUUUCCUGCUGCCUGCUCUGGAGCACCAACCCCAGCAGGAUGAGCACUGCUGCGCCAGUGGAGACUAACAGAGACACUGUGGUGGCGAUGGAAGUGGACAUGGUGCUGAAUGAGGAAGAGAUGAUGGAGGUGGACGUGGAAGACCAGGUUGAGGAGAUGGAAGUUGAUGAGGAGGAUGACAUCGAGGCGAUGGAAGUGGAUGAGAAGGAUGAGGAGGAGCCCAUGGUCCUUGGAUGAAGAUGGAGCCCCACAAGACUGAUGCAGAUGAUGGCUGUAGAUAUUACGGCGGUGUAUAUAUGUUUGAAAAGUUAGGAUAUUUUUGUAAAUAUGUUCUUAGGUUAGUAGUUCUUUGUAAAUAUGUUUUGAAGAUUGUUACUCCAUAGGAUCCCAUGGAAAUAUGUGCAGUAGAUU